rnacentral:rRNA from 1 species
GGUAGAGCACUGAUUAGGCUAGGGCCCUUCACCGGGUACCAACCCUAGACAAACUCCGAAUACCAGUGAUGAGCCGCCAGGCAGUCAGUCGCAGGGUGAUAACGUCCUGUGGCGAGAGGGGAACAACCCAGACCACCAGCUAAGGUCCCUAAAUACCGACUAAGUUGAUCAAAGAAAGUUGAGUUGCUCAGACAACUAGGUGGUGGGCUUAGAAGCAGCCAUUCCUUUAAAGAGUGCGUAAUAGCUCACUAGUCAAGCGACUCGGCGUCGAUAAUACACGGGCAUUAAACAUACUGCCGAAGCUGUGGUCCCCCCGAGCAAUCGGGGGGAGGUAAGGGAGCAUUCCAGGGGCGCAGAAGCGGAGUCGCGAGACUCCGUGGAGCCCCUGGAAGCGAAACUGUAGGCAUGAGUAACGAGAAGACGGGCGAGAAACCCGUCCACCAUAAACCCAAGGGUUCCUGAUCAACGCUAAUCGGAUCAGGGUUAGUCGAGACCUAAGGUGUAGCCGAAAGGCGAAGCCGAUGGCAAACCGGUUCAAUAUUCCGGUACCGAGUUGAACCAUUUUUUUAUACUGUUACUUUUUAAUGAUCUUUU